rnacentral:rRNA from 1 species
UACGGAGGGUGCAAGCGUUGCUCGGAAUUAUUGGGCGUAAAGGGUAGGUAGGUGGUCUCAUUUGUCUGGGGUGAAAUCCUUGAGCUUAACUCAAGAAGUGCCUCAGAAACGGUGAGACUAGAGUUCUGGAGAGGGUCGUGGAAUUCCCGGUGUAGCGGUGAAAUGCGUAGAGAUCCGGAGGAACACCAAAGGCGAAGGCAGUGUCCUGGGGAGUACCUGACGCUCAGGUGCGAAAGCCAGGGGAGCGAACGGG